AUCUUUACACCUGGGGCAAUGACGCAACUAGUGAGGUACUAACCGAGGCGCGUCAAUUGCUAGUUGAAAACUAUUUCCAAACCCCUUCUUUGGCUUGGGUUCUGCCUUGGCCAUUGAGAAUUUUUGAACGGGCUUCCCUUCUGGGUAAAGCC